UAAGGUAGUAAUAGUUAUGAUCUUGAAACUUAAAAAAUUUGGCGGUAUUUUAGUCUAUUCAGAGGAACCUGUUUUAUAAUCGAUAAUCCACGAUGGACCUCACUUAAUUUUAUUUAGUUUAUAUACCGUUGUUAUAAAAUAUUUUAUAAGAAUAAUAAUUUUUAUAAUUUUAAAAUAAGAAAAUAUAUCAGAUCAAGGUGUAGCUUAUAAUUAAGUAAUAAUGGGUUACAAUAAAUUUAUUUAAAUGAAUAUAAAUUUGAAAUAUUUAUUGAAGGUGGAUUUGAUAGUAAAAUUAUAAAGAUUAAUAAU
rnacentral:rRNA from 1 species